UAGGGAAUCUUCGGCAAUGGACGAAAGUCUGACCGAGCAACGCCGCGUGAGUGAAGAAGGUUUUCGGAUCGUAAAACUCUGUUGUUAGAGAAGAACAAGGACGUUAGUAACUGAACGUCCCCUGACGGUAUCUAACCAGAAAGCCACGGCUAACUACGUGCCAGCAGCCGCGGUAAUACGUAGGUGGCAAGCGUUGUCCGGAUUUAUUGGGCGUAAAGCGAGCGCAGGCGGUUUCUUAAGUCUGAUGUGAAAGCCCCCGGCUCAACCGGGGAGGGUCAUUGGAAACUGGGAGACUUGAGUGCAGAAGAGGAGAGUGGAAUUCCAUGUGUAGCGGUGAAAUGCGUAGAUAUAUGGAGGAACACCAGUGGCGAAGGCGGCUCACUGGACUGUAACUGACGCUGAGGCUCGAAAGCGUGGGGAGCAAACAGG
rnacentral:rRNA from 1 species